rnacentral:rRNA from 1 species
GGCACGGGGGCCCUACGGGAGGCAGCAGUGGGGAAUAUUGGACAAUGGGCGAAAGCCUGAUCCAGCAAUACCGAGUGAGUGAUGAAGGCCCUAGGGUUGUAAAGCUCUUUUAGCAAGGAAGAUAAUGACGUUACUUGCAGAAAAAGCUCCGGCUAACUCCGUGCCAGCAGCCGCGGUAAUA